AUGAGCCACCACGCCAGGCUGACACUGGUCCUCUUGAAGGAAGAAUGGUCAGCUGACUACUACUUGCCUAGCUCUGGCCUGGAUAAAAAGUUGAAUCAUUCCUUUCCCUCUUCCUCCCUAACCUGUUCUUUCUCUCCACUAGAAUCCUUUCCUAGAGUCCAGCGCCUCAUUCCUGUCCAGGAUCACCUUCUGGUAGAUCACAGAGACUACCGGAAGGUUGAUCAUCUGGGGCUACCACCAGCCCCUGCAGAGCAGUGGCCUCUGGUCUUUAAACAAGUCAUGCCUGUUUUGGUAAAGAACUCGAAGAAGAAAUGCGCCAAGUCUGGGAAUGGAUGA
rnacentral:lncRNA from 1 species